AAGGUAGCGAAAUUCCUUGUCGGGUAAGUUCCGACCUGCACGAAUGGCGUAAUGAUGGCGGCGCUGUCUCCACCCGAGACUCAGUGAAAUUGAAAUCGCUGUGAAGAUGCAGUGUACCCGCGGCAAGACGGAAAGACCCCGUGAACCUUUACUAUAGCUUGGCACUGGACUCUGACACUAUCUGUGUAGGAUAGGUGGGAGACUUUGAAGCGUGGUCGCUAGACUGCGUGGAGUCGACCUUGAAAUACCACCCUGGUGGUGUUGGGGUUCUAACGCUGACCCGUUAUCCGGGUUGCGGACAGUGUCUGGUGGGUAGUUUGACUGGGGCGGUCUCCUCCCAAAGAGUAACGGAGGAGCACGAAGGUACCCUCAGCAUGGUCGGAAAUCAUGCAAUGAGCGCAAUGGUAGAAGGGUGCUUAACUGCGAGACCCACAAGUCGAGCAGGUACGAAAGUAGGUCAUAGUGAUCCGGUGG
rnacentral:rRNA from 1 species